rnacentral:rRNA from 1 species
UACGACUACAUAUCAGGCAUAUCAAUAAGCGGAGGAAAAGAAACUAACAAGGAUUCCCUUAGUAACGGCGAGUGAAGCGGGAGGAGCUCAAAUUUGAAAUCUUCAAGGGUUCUACCUUUACGAAUUGUAGUUUAAAGAAGUGUUUUCUGUUAGGAGUUAGGCUAAAAGUUCUUUGGAAUAGGACAUCACUAGAGGGUGAGAAUCCCGUAUUUGACCGUUACUUUCCAGCUGUGUGAUACACUUUCAAAGAGUCGGAUUGUUUGGGAAUGCAGUCCAAAAUGGGUGGUAAAUUUCAUCUAAAGCUAAAUAUUGGCGAGAGACCGAUAGCGAACAAGUACCGUGAGGGAAAGAUGAAAGAACUUUGAAAAGAGAGUUAAACAGUACGUGAAAUUGUCAAAAGGGAAGCGUUUGACACCAGUGUUGUUUAUUCGAAAAUCAAUUCAAGAGUGGUUUGAUUCUAGUAGUAUUGAUCUUCAUCAGCUUUCUUCACUUCUUCUCGAGUAUUAUUGAAUGCACUUUUCAGGUUAACAAGUCAACAUCAAUUUCUUUUGUUGUAAAAGGGUAUAGGAAGGUGGCUUUCUCUUCGGCGCAAGUGUUUAUAGCCUUUAUACUCUACAAUCGGAGAGAUUGAGGUCUGCAGCGUAGAUCCUUCGGGGUUAGAUACAUUGUGCUAAGCUAUAGCCUUGUAUAGACAACUUGUUGACUAUGCUCUAGUCAUGUAGCUUACUCGCUGAUGCUAUUUUACCUACGCUUAGGAUGUUGAUCUACAGAGCGAGAGU